rnacentral:misc_RNA from 1 species
GGAAGGAUCAUUAACACUAAUCCAAUCAACUCAACCUAGCCUUCAGUUGCAUCAGUGUGCAAGCGAGCGUAAGCAAGCAGUGCCGCUGUUGUAGCCAAAACAAACUAAUUCACGCAAAGGAGCCUAACUAAGCUCAAUAACCAAAAUCAAAUUCUCAACGAUGGAUAUCUUGGUUCCCAUAACGAUGAAGAACGCAGCGAAGUGCGAUAAGCAAUGCGAAUUGCAGAACCGUGAGUCAUCAGAUUUUUGAACGCAACUGGCGCCGGCUGGCUCUCCAGUCGGCAUGCUUGUUUCAGUGUCUUGUUUUCUCCUCACCUAAAUCUUAAUGCGAGAGAUACCCUUCUCUUGCUAAGCAUGAAAGCACUAUGAGUUUUGCCAGUAACUUCGGUUACACUCAAUGCAUCGGUCACAUUUUUAAUGUGAACUCAUUGAGAGCAGAUUCAGCGCAGCAUUAGCUGUAAAGUGCUUAGUCACUCAAACUUUCUUUGCAUCUGAAAUCAAGCAGGAUCACCCGCUGAACUUAAGCAUAUCACUAAGCGGAGGAAAAGAAAUUAACUAAGAUUGCCCUAGUAACGGCGAGUGAAGCGGCAAAAGCCCAAACUGGAAAUCUUCACACUGCGUGUGACGAAUUGUAAUCUAAAGGUGAUUCACUCACCGGGUGGUGGCGCAGAAGUGCCUUAGAACGGGCCGCCAUAGAGGGUGACAGCCCCGUAUGUGGUGCCAUCGCCUAACGAGUGGAUUGUCCAAGAGUCGGGUUGUUUUGUAUUGCAGCCCUAAGUGGGAGAUAAACUUCUUCUAAGGCUAAAUAUAUAUGGGAAACCGAUAGCGAACAAGUACUGUGAAGGAAAGAUGAAAAGAACUUUGAAAAGAGAGUCAAAAGACUUGAAAUCGUUGAGAAGGAAGCGGUAGAAAUUUAUUCUUCGGCGGAGAACUGGAGUAGUUGCCAAACCAUUGCUGGCUGUGAGUACGUAAAAGGCUCCUGUCAUCACUUGGGGAAGUGGCUGCCUUGUUCUUCGUUGUGAGGCAAAAUGGGGUCUCACAUCCACAGAAGCUUCCGGGACCUGACUCGAUUCGUUGGGUAGUCUCGGUUUGUUGGUGGGCGUGGGGCCUGAGGGUGCUUCGUGCGAUUUUGCCAAAAUGGUUUUUACCGACCCGUCUUGAAACACGGACCAAGGAGUCUAACAUAUAUGCGAGUGUGCUGGUGGAAAAACCAACACGCGUAAUGAAAGUAACUGAUGCCAACCGCAAGGGGCAGCAUCAACCGACCAUGAUCCUCUGGUGAAAGGUUUGAGUAUGAGCAUAUCUGUUAGGACCCGAAAGAUGGUGAACUAUGCCUGAGUAGGGUGAAGCCAGGGGAAACUCUGGUGGAGGCUCGUAGCGGUACUGACGUGCAAAUCGUUCGUCAAACUUGGGUAUAGGGGCGAAAGACUAAUCGAACCAUCUAGUAGCUGGUUCCCUC